AACCCGCCUGCGUGAAGUUGGAAUUGCUAGUAAUCGCGGAUCAGCAUGCCGCGGUGAAUACGUUCCCGGGCCUUGUACACACCGCCCGUCACACCAUGGAAGUCGGUAAUGCCCGAAGUCAGUAGCCUAACCGCAAGGGGGGCGCUGCCGAAGGCAGGAUUGAUGACUGGGGUGAAGUCGUAACAAGGUAUC
rnacentral:rRNA from 1 species